rnacentral:misc_RNA from 1 species
GUGACAGUUCCCCGCAAACUAUUCCUACACAAUAUCACUGUCCCAUUCUUUGUACUGCUCAUUCGAUCUCUCUCAUGUAAAGGUCCUUGCAGUGUUCAAAGGGAUACAAGAGACUGAAGUGGUCCUUGGAUUGGAGUAUUACCCUCUCAGAUUCUGUUAUGAAAAUGCUAUGAGAGGCCAUGUAUACACACCAUGUAGCAUAGAAGAUGUUUAGCAGAC